rnacentral:rRNA from 1 species
CCCUUAGAUGUUCUGGGCCGCACGCGCGCUACACUGAUACAUUCAACGAGUAUACAACCUUGGCUGAAAGGCCUGGGUAAUCUUUUGAAACUGUAUCGUGAUGGGGAUAGAUUAUUGCAAUUUUUAAUCUUCAACGAGGAAUUCCUAGUAAACGCAAGUCAUCAGCUUGCAUUGAUUACGUCCCUGCCCUUUGUACACACCGCCCGUCGCUCCUACCGAUUGAGUGAUCCGGUAAAUUGUUCAGACUGCUGCUGUCUCCAGCUUCUGGAGUGGUGGUGGAAAGUUUUGUGAACCUUACCACUUAGAGGAAGGAGAAGUCGUAACA